rnacentral:rRNA from 1 species
UGGGGAAUAUUGGACAAUGGGGGAAACCCUGAUCCAGCGAUGCCGCGUGUGUGAAGAAGGCCUGAGGGUUGUAAAGCACUUUUAGUUAGGAAGAGACGUUUGUUGUUAAUAGCAGCAGACUGAGACGUUACUAACAGAAAAAGCACUGGCUAACUCUGUGCCAGCAGCCGCGGUAAUACAGAGAGUGCUAGCGUUAAUCGGAAUUACUGGGCGUAAAGGGCGCGUAGGUGGAUAAAUGCGUGAGAUGUGAAAGUCCUGGGCUUAACCUGGGGAUUGCGUCUCAUACGGUUUAUCUUGAGUCUGGGAGAGGGGAGUGGAAUUUCCGGAGUAGCGGUGAAAUGCGUAGAUAUCGGAAGGAACACCUGAGGCGAAGGCGGCUCUCUGGCCUAAGACUGACACUGAUGCGCGAAAGCGUGGGGAGCAAACAGG